rnacentral:rRNA from 1 species
UACGUAGGUGGCAAGCGUUGUCCGGAUUUACUGGGCGUAAAGAGCGCGCAGGCGGUCGAUUAAGUCGAAUGUGAAAGCCCCCGGCUUAACUGGGGAGGGUCAUUCGAUACUGCUCGACUUGAAGGCAGGAGAGGGAAGUGGAAUUCCCGGUGUAGUGGUGAAAUGCGUAGAUAUCGGGAGGAACACCAGUGGCGAAGGCGACUUCCUGGCCUGUUCUUGACGCUGAGGCGCGAAAGCUGGGGGAGCAAACGGGAUUAGAAACCCUCGUAGUCC